rnacentral:rRNA from 1 species
ACGCUCGACACCUACGGGUGGCAGCAGUGGGGAAUAUUGCACAAUGGGGGAAACCCUGAUGCAGCGACGCCGCGUGAGCGAAGAAGUAUUUCGGUAUGUAAAGCUCUAUCAGCAGGGAAGAAACUGACGGUACCUGACUAAGAAGCACCGGCUAAAUACGUGCCACAGCCGCGGUAAUCUGAGCGGGCUGGCAAGGC